ensembl:lincRNA Gm15506 predicted gene 15506
GCUGUAGUCUCCCCGGGACUGGCGAGCGCAACCCCGGGUUAUUCCGAAAAAAUACACAUUUUAUGACAGGAAAAGUGAUCUGUCUCCAAGGAGCUGAUGACUCAAGGGAAGCAUGGGAUACACAAAUAAGUGUCUUGCACAGCAGUAAGGAUGAUAAUGGAAAUUUUACCCAGUGUGGGCGGAAGGAUCAACUCUGCCUGGGAGAGCUGUUCUUUGGUAAAACGAGGUGACCUUCGCACAGGCUCAUAAAGAUGACUAGAGUUCUCUGGAGCUUUGUAAAUGGUUAAGCACGGUAUAAAUGCUCCCCAAAGCCCAGGCUCCCUGGGCCAGGAAACGGCCACAGUUAAGCGGUCACACGUCAGUGCUGUAGCAAGCGAACUGAGGCGCAUCCAGAAGAUGCAGACUCAGACCCAGAGGCUGUAAAAUCACCUGGGAGCCGAGCCAGGAAGCCUUGGAGUGGGAAGCGCCCCUCCCCCCACCCCACCCCUCCCAGCGCCACCCUGUGGAAAGGCCUCCCUCCACCCUGAUGGAUGUGAGCAUCUAUACCUGGGCCUCAGCCAGUGCCCUGCCUGAACCCUACCUAGCCUGGUCGUGCUGGCUGUUGGCCUCUCCUACUCACCGCAGCCAUACACUUCCGAGUUUCCUACACGUCACCUCUACCACAAGCUCUACCUCUGCUGUCCAAUCAACUUGCAGCUACUCUCAUGGAUCACGUGAGACAGGUGAGUUUGAUGUUAGCCGGAAUAAGCCGGAACACCUGACCAAGCCAGACAGACGCCUAGGGAUUGAAUAAAGGCCUGAACCUGCUUGUUGGCUGUGAUCUGCGACUCAAGCCCAAUGAGAAAUCACCGAUGCUACUUUGCAGGCAUUCUGGAAGCAUAAUGAUUUUGCUAGUCCUGCUUGCAUCCUGGAGUUUGUUAUGGACAAAGAAGACCCCAUAAGGAAAUCUGCCUCUCUGGAACUGUGCCUACGAACAGUAAAAUUCCCCGUGGUGGGCUUUUUAAGCCUUUAUUGCCAUUGGUAUUAGAUGGAAGCAAUCACAUGGAAAUGUUUUAUUUGAGCAACAUUGCCUUUGAGAAUCAGACCAUGUAAUAGUAAGUUGGACUUUAAUAAAAGGAAAAUGAGUUUGGAUGG